rnacentral:lncRNA from 1 species
AAAAACAUACAUGCAUACAGAUAGACCAAGACGAGUACAUCGACACUAAUUUAAAAUCAUCAUCCAUCUCUAUUAACUAAGGAUCAAAAUCCUCAAAAGUUAUGGUAUGUCAUUUCUGAGAUAGAACCAAACAAAUGCAAAAACAAACAAUCAAAGAAAAAUGACAUCAGAGUUUUUUGAUGUUUAUUAGAUUUCCUCUUUGAAAACAAAUGACAUCAGUGUUUCAUAAAAAUCAUAUCUACCAUAUGGAAAUUUGGAAAAUGGUGAAUAGAAAUAAACUUGUUUUUUUUAAUGGAGGAAAAAAAAAAUGGUUUCCCACUUUCCCCAAAAUUGAAUAUAAAAUGAAAAGAAGAAAAAAUGCUUCCCCAAACAGAUGUGAGCAUGCAUAUAACUGGCAUAUAACUUUUAAAGUGUUAGAAUAAUCUAAAGAUUGUUUGAAUCAAAGAUCACUGGUAUGUUGAGCGGAUUCACAUUGAAAUCAGAGUAUAAGGGGUAUUUGCAACUUGGUGGGAUCGUAAAUCUAGCGAGGUAAAUAAGGAAUAUUUUCAGUGUUAAUUUUAAUUCUGGAUGUUGUCUUUUUUAUAAUUUGUUUUCAUUUUUGUUUAAAAAGUGUUUUUGGGUGAGCAUUUGAAGUAGGAAAUCUUUUGGAAAGUUAUCUGAAACUAAGGAUUGUAUCACAACAUAAAAGCAAGACUAGGACCAGAUAUGUGGGGCUGAUUAGAGAAGAAAUGACAUGUAAAAUAGGCAUGACAGUAAGGAAACCGAAGAAGAAAUAGAGGGAGGAAAUCGAGAAAUCUACAGGAAGUAGGAAGUAAGGAAAUAGAAGAAGAAAUCAACCUGAAAUACGGGCUGCUGCUGCUGCUGCUGCCACCGGAGGAACUCCUCGCUGGAGGUUGGGUUGGGAAAUCGCUGGAGUGUUGGAUUGGGAAGAAAAGACGAUGUGGGAUUUGGGGAUUUUGGAUGGGUUUGAUUUAGAGGUGUUAGGUUUAAUAUAGGGGUUUGUGUUGGGUUUUUUUUGGGGUUAAAUAUUGAUAUUUUAAAUGGGUAUUUUAUAUUUUGUGUAUAAUUUAAAUGGGAAGAAAACAGGUUGUGGGAUUUGGGAGAUUUUG